UACGGGGGGAGCAAGCGUUGUUCGGAUUUACUGGGCGUAAAGGCGCGUAGGCGGUCAGCACAAGUCAGUUGUGAAAUCUCCGGCUUAACUCGGAAAGGUCAACUGAUACUGUGCGACUAGAGUGCAGAAGGGGCAACUGGAAUUCUCGGUGUAGCGGUGAAAUGCGUAGAUAUCGAGAGGAACACCUGCGGCGAAGGCGGGUUGCUGGGCUGACACUGACGCUGAUGCGCGAAAGCCAGGGAGCGAACGGG
rnacentral:rRNA from 1 species